UACAGAGGUCUCAAGCGUUGUUCGGAUUCAUUGGGCGUAAAGGGUGUGUAGGUGGCGCCGUAAGUCGGGUGUGAAAUUUCGGAGCUUAACUCCGAAACUGCAUUCGAUACUGCGGUGCUUGAGGACUGGAGAGGAGACUGGAAUUCAUGGUGUAGCAGUGAAAUGCGUAGAGAUCAUGAGGAAGACCAGUGGCGAAAGGCGGGUCUCCUGGGACAGUUCCUGACACUGAGACACGAAGGCCAGGGGAGGCAAAACGGG
rnacentral:rRNA from 1 species